AACGAACGCUGGCGGCAGGCUUAACACAUGCAAGUCGAGCGCGAUGAGUUUGGUAGCUUGCUAUUGAACUCGGAAAGCGGCGAAAGGGAGAGUAACGCGUAGUUACGUGCCCCAGGGUUCGGAAUAGACACGGGAAACUGUGGGUAAUGCCGAAUAACAUCUCCGGAUCAAAGGUGUGAUUCCGCCUUGGGAGCGGACUGCGGCCUACUAGCUAGUUGGCGGGGUAAUGGCCCACCAAGGCAACAAUGGGUAGCGGGUGUGAGAGCAUGACCCGUCUCACUGGGACUGAGACACUGCCCAGACACCUACGGGUGGCUGCAGUUGAGAAUCUUCGGCAAUGGGCGAAAGCCUGACCGAGCGACGCCGCGUGCGGGAUGAAGGCCCUCGGGUUGUAAACCGCUGUCGUAGGGGAGGAAGGCUCUGUGAAGAACAGGGUUUGACCUAUCCUAGGAGGAAGUACGGGCUAAGUUCGUGCCAGCCGCCGCCGUAAUAC
rnacentral:rRNA from 1 species